rnacentral:rRNA from 1 species
AACGCGAAGAACCUUACCUGGGCUUGACAUGCUGGUGUAAGCCGGUGGAAACAUCGGCCCCUCUUCGGAGCGCCAGCACAGGUGCUGCAUGGCUGUCGUCAGCUCGUGUCGUGAGAUGUUGGGUUAAGUCCCGCAACGAGCGCAACUCUCGCUCCCAGUUGCCAGCGGUUCGGCCGGGGACUCUGGGGGGACUGCCGGCGUUAAGCCGGAGGAAGGUGGGGACGACGUCAAGUCAUCAUGGCCCUUACGUCCAGGGCGACACACGUGCUACAAUGCCUGGUACAGCGCGUCGCGAACUCGCAAGAGGGAGCCAAUCGCCAAAAGCCGGGCUAAGUUCGGAUUGUCGUCUGCAACUCGACGGCAUGAAGCCGGAAUCGCUAGUAAUCGCGGAUCAGCCACGCCGCGGUGAAUACGUUCCCGGGCCUUGUA